rnacentral:rRNA from 1 species
UAACUCCCGCCGGCGACCGGCGCACGGGUGAGUAACACGUAUGAAACCUGCCCGUAGCAGGGGGAUAAGCGGAAGAAAUUCCGUCUAAUACCGCGUAACAACCCGAGGAGGCAUCUCCUCGGGUUUAAAGGAAGCGAUUCCGGCUACGGAUGGUCAUGCGUCGCAUUAGCUAGUUGGCGGGGUAACGGCCCACCAAGGCGACGGUGCGUAGGGGUUCUGAGAGGAAGGUCCCCCACACUGGUACUGAGACACGGACCAGACUCCUACGGGAGGCAGCAG